rnacentral:rRNA from 1 species
UACGGAGGGGGCUAGCGUUGUUCGGAAUUACUGGGCGUAAAGCGUGCGUAGGCGGCUUUGUAAGUCAGAGGUGAAAGCCCGGAGCUCAACUUCGGAAUAGCCUUUGAGACUGCAUCGCUUGAAUCCGGGAGAGGUGAGUGGAAUUCCGAGUGUAGAGGUGAAAUUCGUAGAUAUUCGGAAGAACACCAGUGGCGAAGGCGGCUCACUGGACCGGUAUUGACGCUGAGGCGCGAAAGCGUGGGGAGCAAACAGG